rnacentral:rRNA from 1 species
UAAACGACUCUCGGCAACGGAUAUCUCGGCUCACGCAUCGAUGAAGAACGUAGCAAAAUGCGAUACUUGGUGUGAAUUGCAGAAUCCCGUGAACCAUCGAGUUUUUGAACGCAAGUUGCGCCCGAAGCCAUUUGGUUGAGGGCACGUCUGCUUGGGCGUCACGC